UUAAUUAAAACCAAAACAGAGGUAAAUUAUUGUUAAUAAUUUUAUUGAAUUAAUAUAAAUUCUAAUUAAU
rnacentral:tRNA from 1 species